CAGAGCAUAGCUAAGCUAGUAAAGCAUCUCCCUUACACCGAGAAGACGUCCGUGCAACUCGGACUGCUCUGA
rnacentral:tRNA from 1 species